rnacentral:rRNA from 1 species
AUUGAACGCUGGCGGCAGGCUUAACACAUGCAAGUCGAGCGAGCGGCGGACGGGUGAGUAAUGUCUGGGAAACUGCCUGAUGGAGGGGGCUAACUACUGGAAACGGUAGCUAAUACCGCAUACCAUCAUCUGUGCCUAGAUGGGAUUAGCUAGUAGGUGGGGUAAUGGCUCACCUAGGCGACGAUCCCUAGCUGGUCUGAGAGGAUGACCAGCCACACGGGAACUGAGACACGGUCCAGACUCCUACGGGAGGCAGCAGUGGGGAAUAUUGGACAAUGGGCGCAAGCCUGAUGCAGCCAUGCCGCGUGUGUGAAGAAGGCCUUCGGGUUGUAAAGCACUUUCAGCGAGGAGGCGGUACUCGCAGAAGAAGCACCGGCUAACUCCGUGCCAGCCGCCGCGGUAAUAC